CGUUAAGGGAAUUGAGCUGUCAGUGGCAUGUGCAGCUAAUACACUGGAUUAUAGCUUAGUCAUGCACCUGUGGUCUAGUAUUUAAUCCUGACAGUCCAGUGAUUAUUGCAGCUGGCAGGUCCACAGGGUGGCAUCGCCUCUAACUCUCCAUACAACUGGCCAUUGUGUGGUAUAUGAGGUCUGGCCAGGGGAUAGAGGCUCUCAGGUGGCAGGGUUGUCUGAGAAAAACAAAUUUACCCAGCAGGCUGUCAAGGACCAAAGUUGAGGACCACUACCUUGGAAUGUGUACUAUGUCAUGUCAUAAAAGCCCGGCUGUCACCUCCCACUCCAUUCACCACCAUCACCGCGGACACCGCCUGCAGACUGGACGGAAUCAGCGAGGGCACCGAGUGGACAAUAAUUCAAUUAGUACUCACACCAGCCGGUGCUCAUUAUCAGUGCCAGCUGUCAGUCAUCAACGGCCCAUCAGAGACCCGUUAAAGCGGCUCCAGCUCAGCAUUCAAGGAGCCUGUAGACACUCCGUGCUGACACUCAUGCUUAUCCCCAUGUGGAGACGUACUAUGAGGAAGAGCGUUCGCGGUUUCCCGUACCCCUGCCACCUCCACGCCAUCCAGUCUUCCCAUGUAACAUCCUGUCAAGAGGGACAAGACACAUGCUCAUUCCUCUUUGAGUGACUGUUCCCCUCUGAAGUCACAUUAUUUUUAAUAUAAGGGCCCUAAGGGUUACUACA